UCACAUGAUAAAUGUUCAAUAAACAUUUGCUGAUUGUCAUGGAGGACAGAAAAGUGGCUACCCAAGAUUUGAAAUUAUAGAAUUUUAAAGUUAAAAGGACUGUACAAUCAUCCAGAUAAUCCAUUUGCAUUACUUGUUUCACUGGCAGGUUUCUCUAGAAAUAUCCUGGAAAAAUAGCUUCUCUUGUCCCUGAGGAACGCUGAGCACUGUCCCAAUGGAGAUUAGGAUUGGGUAUGUCAGCACCACCCCAACAUUCACCAGGAUGUUGAAGGCUGUAAAAUAGAGGAGGAAAUACAAGAUGAAGGAGAAAUAAUAUGCUGGACUUUUUUCUUCUUAUAAGACAGCCCCAUGGCAGAGCUGCAAAAGAGGACCAGUGUUCCACCUUGGUGAAAUACAAGAUGACUGGGGUGAAGGAGAUGAAGAUCAAAUUGAAGAAACCCAAGGUGGAGACAAAGUGUGCGGCUUCCCCAAAGUUGGCACUUCCGAGAAACAUUUUAAACAAGACCUGGAAUGAGAAAGAAACUCUACAGCCACACAGAAACUUAGCCAGAGCAGAAAGAAAAACACAAAACGACUCUUCUUGGCCUCAGCUUUCUGGAAAUGUGUCUGCAGGAAGCCAGUGCCUAAAAUAUUGUGUCAAAAAUGCUCAUAUGUGUUCAUUCACAAGAAGACAACCACUAAAGUGCUCCUGGGACACAUUAACAUCCAUGAGAGGAAUUCUUCUGGUGAAAAUACACCAUCUAGUGGUGCCACCUGCUCGGCUUCUGAAAAAUGUGGGUCUCUUGACAAUCUAUUCCAGUUCCAGCCUCUUAACCAACCGGAAGUGUCUAAAUAAGAUGGAAAACAAGGCCAGGCACAGUGGCUCACGCCUGUAAUCUUAGCACUUUGGGAGGCCCAGGUGGGUGGAUCACUUGAGGUCAGGAGUUCGAGACCAGCCUGGCCAACAAUGGCGAGACCCCGUCUCUACUAAAAAUAUAAAAAUUAGCCAUGCUUUGGUGGCACAUACCUGUAAUACUGGCUACUCUGGAGGUUGAGGCAGGAGAAGCUCUUGAAUCUGGGAGGUGAAGGUUGCAGUGAGCUGAGAUCACAUCACUGCACUCCAGCCUGGGCAACAGAAUUAGACCCUGUCUCAAAAACAAACAAAAAAGAUGGGGGAAAAAAAAAAACAACUCACCAUUACCAUUAUCUGAACCUGGCUUAGGUGAGAAUGUUAGUAACCAUAGUGACCAUAAAACUGCCAGUGCCUCCAUUUAAAAUGUUUAAACCUCUCUGCCCUCACACACUGUGGUGUGCCCACCUGGGGUGAGUCAUUGAAGGAAGAGGAUUUAUUUAGCCCAUUAUCCCAGCAUGCCAGUUGAGUGGCGUGGCCUCGUGAGCCAGCUAUCUUCCUCUGCAGGCUGGGGCCCUCAGACAGCUCUCUGCACCAAUUUUCAGAGCCAAUCAGAGGGGAUCCGUGUGGCCAUUUGAGUCUGUUCCUAAAGCCCAAAGAGGGCUUUACCAGUGGACAUUUGGUGAUCUCACUGUACUAAAUGCCACCUGUGACCCUACA